AUGCAGCAAGGUGUUAUUAGUAGAAUAGGCACGGGAGAGAGCACACUUAUAUGGGAGCACAAUUGGAUUCCGAGGGGAGACAUCUUACGCCCUAUCACAUCUCUUGUCGCUGAUCAUCCUAAGCUUGUGUGCGAGUUGAUCAACCAAACUUCUUCAUCAUGGAGGGAGGAUCUAGUUCGGACAAUUUUUAUACCAAUUGAUGCGGAGGCAAUACUACAGAUUCCUCUUUGUACUAGGAGGGUGGAAGACUUCUGGGCAUGGAGCAAAGAGACUCGGGGAAAUUUUAGUGUACGAUCAGCUUAUAGGAUGAUCCAGAACACCAAACUUAAUAGAGAGAGCUGGUUGUAUGUGAACGGUGGCACAUCAAAUACCACGGCAGAUAGUAAUGGAUGGUCCUCGCUUUGGCGCACCCAAGUCCCAAACAAGAUCCGAGUUUUCUUAUGGCGCUUGGCAAGGGAAUCGAUCCCAACGCACGAGCUUCUCCAUCACAGAAACAUGGCGGAUUCACCAGCUUGUGCGCUGUGUGGUAUGGGCGACUCAUGGAGGCACGCGUUACUUGACUGUGCAAUGUCGAGAAGUGUGUGGGCUUUAGCUCCUGAAAUUCUAGUCGAACAAAUGAGCCUCGAUGACAACCCAAAUGCCAAGAACUGGUUGUUUAAUAUGCUUUCGCUAUUAUCGCAUGCGGAGUUCACUCGCUUAGGCGUUACCCUUUGGGCGAUCUGGAGCUCUAGGAGAAAGGUGCUCCACGAGGAUAUAUAUCAGACUCCGUAUGCU
rnacentral:rRNA from 1 species